rnacentral:rRNA from 1 species
AGAGUUUGAUCCUGGCUCAGGACGAACGCUGGCGGCGUGCCUAAUACAUGCAAGUCGAGCGGACAGAUGGGAGCUUGCUCCCUGAUGUUAGCGGCGGACGGGUGAGUAACACGUGGGUAACCUGCCUGUAAGACUGGGAUAACUCCGGGAAACCGGGGCUAAUACCGGAUGGUUGUUUGAAUCGCAUGGUUCAAACAUAAAAGGUGGCUUCGGCUACCACUUACAGAUGGACCCGCGGCGCAUUAGCUAGUUGGUGAGGUAACGGCUCACCAAGGCGACGAUGCGUAGCCGACCUGAGAGGGUGAUCGGCCACACUGGGACUGAGACACGGCCCAGACUCCUACGGGAGGCAGCAGUAGGGAAUCUUCCGCAAUGGACGAAAGUCUGACGGAGCAACGCCGCGUGAGUGAUGAAGGUUUUCGGAUCGUAAAGCUCUGUUGUUAGGGAAGAACAAGUACCGUUCGAAUAGGGCGGUACCUUGACGGUACCUAACCAGAAAGCCACGGCUAACUACGUGCCAGCAGCCGCGGUAAUACGUAGGUGGCAAGCGUUGUCCGGAAUUAUUGGGCGUAAAGGGCUCGCAGGCGGU